rnacentral:rRNA from 1 species
AAGUGGAGCAAUCCAUGAGUAAAGUGGCGACCGGGUGAGUAACACGUGACUAACCUACCUUUGAGUGGGGGAUAACCUCGGGAAACCGAGGCUAAUACCGCAUAACAUCGCAAGAUCAAAGCAGCAAUGCGCUUAAAGAGGGGGUCGCGGCUGAUUAGCUAGUUGGCGGGGUAAUGGCCCACCAAGGCGAAGAUCGGUAUCCGGCCUGAGAGGGCGCACGGACACACUGGAACUGAAACACGGUCCAGACUCCUACGGGAGGCAGCAGUGGGGAAUUUUGCGCAAUGGGGGAAACCCUGACGCAGCAACGCCGCGUGGAGGAUGAAGCCCCUUGGG